GUGAUGUGUGAAAGGAAACAAGGUUAGCACUCCCCUUGAUAAGGAUGGAAGAGGUUCUAAUGGCCUUCAUAACAUAUAUACAGUUAAGGCAUUGCCACCUACUCUGUGGCAUAUAGCAUAUUAUAUAU